GGCCCCAUCGUCUAACGGUUAGGACACGGCCUUUUCAAGGCUGUAAUCGGAGUUCGAUUCUCCGUGGGGUCA
rnacentral:tRNA from 1 species